UACGUAGGGGGCAAGCGUUGUCCGGAUUUCUUGGGCGUAAAGAGCGUGUAGGCGGCUAGGUAGGUCCGUUGUGAAAACUCGAGGCUCAACCUCGAGACGUCGAUGGAAACCAUCUAGCUAGAGUCCGGAAGAGGAGAGUGGAAUUCCUGGUGUAGCGGUGAAAUGCGCAGAUAUCAGGAAGAACACCCGUGGCGAAGGCGGCUCUCUGGUACGUGACUGACGCUGAGACGCGAAAGCGUGGGGAGCAAACAGG
rnacentral:rRNA from 1 species